UCCCUCUCAGGAUCGCACCUGUAGAGUUUCCAGUACUCUACCAGUCUCAACUACAAGAGGGAGAGUCAAGCAGAGGCCUACCCGUUCCAUUCCCAGCUUGGUCAGUGACUGGCGAGUGGAAGCCCAUCUGCUACAAUU